rnacentral:rRNA from 1 species
UACAGAGGGUGCGAGCGUUGUCCGGAAUCACUGGGCGUAAAGGGCGCGUAGGUGGUGGCUUAAGCGUGCGGUGAAAGCUCGGGGCUCAACUCCGAGUCGGCCGUGCGAACUGGGCUCACUGGAGCAUAGUAGAGGCAGGUGGAAUUCCGGGUGUAGCGGUGGAAUGCGUAGAGAUCCGGAAGAACACCGGUGGCGAAGGCGGCCUGCUGGGGUAAUGCUGACACUGAUGCGCGACAGCGUGGGGAGCAACAGG